ACAAUGACUCUCGGCAACGGAUAUCUCGGCUCUUGCAUCGAUGAAGAACGUAGCGAAAUGCGAUACUUGGUGUGAAUUGCAGAAUCCCGUGAACCAUCGAGUCUUUGAACGCAAGUUGCGCCCGAAGCCAUUAGGCCGAGGGCACGCCUGCCUGGGUGUCACACA
rnacentral:rRNA from 1 species